UAUCAAACAUGAAAACUGGCAACUCUUUUCAGUUUCAAAAGAGGACAAUCUUCUCUUAUUUACAGAAGACAUCUAGAACACAGCUGCUGACAUGUUACAUCUGGAAAUCACUGCUUGCAUAGGCGAGUCAAAGCUUCUUAGACCUGAUUCACAAAUUAUUCUGAAUCUAGAAGGUCCCUUUCACCACAGAAUAUUCUAUGAUGUCCUGUAAAGGGAACAAUAGAAAAAGGCAGAUAUAGCCCUAUUGGGCCAACAGAGGUAUCCCUAAUAAUGCACAAUAAAGAGGCUUCUUUUCAAAAAGUAAUUUGUCUCCAAGGUGAUAUCAGAGGGGCAAGCCAUUCCUGAAAGUACAGCUUUCUUGCUCUUAGUGACCGGUCUUCUUUGGGUAGGAGCUGUUCAUAUGUUAUUUGUACCAGAGGCAUAUUGAAGCACACACAUCAUGUAUGUCUUGCAGUCUUUCUUCCUCAGAUUACCUGCAGGCAUUCCUUAAAGAGAAUCACAACACUAAAUCUUACCCAAGGGUGAGAUUUCCAAGAGUGAUAAAAACUCUUCUGCCAGUCAGGUGCCAAGGUGUCAACAUUUUUUUUAGAGCCCUCUUCCCUGUAACUGUGUAAAGUCUAGGGGCACUGAAGGCUGCCCGUAACUGCGUCGUCAUACUGCAAGUGAAAGCCAGUCAGGUCAGGAGUGACACAGAUGAGACGAGGAUUUUCUGAAGGGGAUUUCUCCGUCCAAGAGUCAGUUCACCUUGCAGAAAAGUUUCACUUGCUCAGGAAACGAAAGAGGCAAGUAGGAGUGUCCCAGAAUCUAUGCGGAAGGCUAUGGAGAUUCCCCAUUUUGUGAAGAUAGUGGAACAAACAGAGAACAAGACAGGUGCUAGCUCUGCAGCUCCUCAGCAGGCAGUCCUGGUGAGAAGGAUGAAGACUCCCCAUGCAGAAACGAAAGGGGCAGCAAAGACUAGCAUCACCCUUGAAUCGAUACAGAAAGUUAUGGAGAUUCCCUGUUUUGUGAAGAUGGUGGAACAGACGGAUAAGGAACUAGAACCUGAGACCAAGGCACAAGAUUUCCAAGAGCUAAAGAGAAGAUUUCAGCCUCCAAGUAUGCAGGGUCCCAUGCCUCUUGACUGCGGUCAUCUUUGGGAAUAUCUCAGAAGACUUAGCCUUUGGGAAGGGAUGGAUUUCAUGCUAGGGGCACACCUCACUGAUACCAGUCUCAUCCUACUCCACCAGAGUGUAUUGUUGUGUUACUAUUCUGCAACUCCUCGGCUGGUAGUCCCAGAUGGAAAGAUGAUGACACCCCAUGCAGGAAGGACCAUGGACAGAAACACCACGAGGGCUCAGGAAUCCAUGCGGGAGGAGGUGGAGAGGAUUCUGACUGAGAAGCUGGCUGUGUUGCAGAGCCAACUGGAAGUCUCACAGCACACAGCCCCACCUCCGUAGGAAAUGGCCAACACCCAGGCUUCCUUCCAGGCCAUCUCUGAAAAAAUGCAGUCUCUGAUGACAUUUUUGCAGAACGUGGAGGCAUCUAGAAAGCAAGAUGCCUCAGAGAUCCUUGAGAUCCUCAGAGCAGAGAUGCAGGGCAAAAUAAGCAAGGAUUUG
rnacentral:lncRNA from 1 species